rnacentral:rRNA from 1 species
UCUGGGAUUAGAUACCCCACUAUACUUUAUCUUAACUUUAAUCACCAGAGAAUUACGAUUUAAAAAUUAAAACUUAAAGAACUUGGCGGUUUUUUAGAACUAUUCAGAGGAGCUUGUUGUUGAAUUGAUACUCCACAAGACACCUCACUCCCCCUAGAAACCCAGCUUGUAUACCAUCGUCGCCAGCUAACCUUAAAGAGUAAAAGCUUAAUGAACACCCAGAACGUCAGAUCAAGGUGCAGCUAAUGGGGGAGGGACUAAUGAGCUACCUUACCUAUUAAAGUCGAGAAAGAAAACUUUAAAAUUUUUCAGAAAAAGGAUUUGAUAGUAAUUUUUUAUAGAAAUAGAAAAUGAAAAAAGCUCUAAAAUGCGCACACACCGCCCGUCACCCUCCUCAA